rnacentral:rRNA from 1 species
GACGAACGCUGGCGGCGUGCUUAACACAUGCAAGUCGAACGGAAAGGCCCUGCUUGCAGGGUACUCGAGUGGCGAACGGGUGAGUAACACGUGGGUGAUCUGCCCUGCACUUCGGGAUAAGCCUGGGAAACUGGGUCUAAUACCGGAUAGGAGCCAUUUUUAGUGUGAUGGUUGGAAAGUUUUUUCGGUGUAGGAUGAGCUCGCGGCCUAUCAGCUUGUUGGUGGGGUAAUGGCCUAACAAGGCGGCGACGGGUAGCCGGCCUGAGAGGGUGGACGGCCACAUUGGGACUGAGAUACGGCCCAGACUCCUACGGGAGGCAGGAGUGGGGAAUAUUGCACAAUGGGCGCAAGCCUGAUGCAGCGACGCCGCGGGGGGGAGGACGGCCUUCGGGUUGGAAACUCCUUUCGCUAGGGACGAAGCUUUUUGUGACGGUACCUAGAUAAGAAGCACCGGCUAACUACGUG